rnacentral:rRNA from 1 species
AGUGAACGCUGGCGGUAGGCCUAACACAUGCAAGUCGAACGGCAGCACAGUAAGAGCUUGCUCUUACGGGUGGCGAGUGGCGGACGGGUGAGGAAUACAUCGGAAUCUACUUUUUCGUGGGGGAUAACGUAGGUAAACUUACGCUAAUACCGCAUACGACCUACGGGUGAAAGCAGGGGAUCUUCGGACCUUGCGCGAUUGAAUGAGCCGAUGUCGGAUUGGCUAGUUGGCGGGGUAAAGGCCCACCAAGGCGACGAUCCGUAGCUGGUCUGAGAGGAUGAUCAGCCACACUGGAACUGAGACACGGUCCAGACUCCUACGGGAGGCAGCAGUGGGGAAUAUUGGACAAUGGGCGGAAGCAUGAUCCAGCCAUACCGCGUGGGUGAAGAAGGCCUUCGGGUUGUAAAGCCCUUUUGUUGGGAAAGAAAAGCAGCAGGUUAAUACCACGCUGUUAUGACGGUACCCAAAGAAUAAGCACCGGCUAACUUCGUG